UACGUAGGGGGCUAGCGUUGUCCGGAAUCAUUGGGCGUAAAGAGCGUGUAGGCGGCCCGGUAAGUCCGCUGUGAAAGUCGGGGGCUCAACCCUCGAAUGCCGGCGGAUACUGUCGGGCUAGAGUCCGGAAGAGGCGAGUGGAAUUCCUGGUGUAGCGGUGAAAUGCGCAGAUAUCAGGAGGAACACCAAUGGCGAAGGCAGCUCGCUGGAACGGUACUGACGCUGAGGCGCGAAAGCGUGGGGAGCAAACAGG
rnacentral:rRNA from 1 species